GCAAUUACCCUGGAGGCAUACCGGCAGCGGUUCCGAGAAAGCCGAAAGACAGAGAAAGAUACUCACAUGGAGUGGGCACACCGCUUAACUAGGGCGGGCAAAGGUUGGGUGCAAGCCGCACAAGCAACCACAGUGGAGGACAUGCUACAAUUACUGCUACUGGAGCAAUUCUUCCAGGGGUUAACCCCGGAUUUACAAAACUGGCUGAGGGAUCGGAAACCGCGCAUCUUAACUGACGCCGCCAGGUGGGCAGACGAGUACCAACAUGCCAGGAGGGCACAGCGGGCACAGGCACGGUCCAUCUUGGGAGCUGCUAACCCACCUCCCACCAUUAACCCCACCCCAGCACUGCGUCCGGGUGGUGGGAACUACCAAACCCCUCCACGGUACAACAAUGCCCGAUCUUUCAUCAGGUGCUACACGUGUAACCAGCAGGGCCACAUGCAGAGAGACUGUCCCAGAAACAGAAACCGCUCCACGUGGAAUACUCCAACUAAUUCCCUUGCAAACCGGGCAGCAGUACACUGCUACCAGAGUGAGCCUCGACAACCUUUCUUCGGGACCCGGUCUAAUGAAGAAUCUUUGGGCACCCUCCACGAGGUUAACCCAGUACAAGCAGCUGCAGACAACCGACAGGGACACCGCCAAGGGUUACACGUAGAGGGAAAACGCCUUCAGGGUCUGCGCGAUUCUGGGGCCACCAUAACCCUGGUUCGCAAUCACCUAGUCCCCAAGCACCAGCUCACUGGAGAAUAUGUGGCAGUCCGGGUGGCAGGGGGAGCGAUUUACAAAAUUCCCACUGCUAAAGUACAUUUGGAUUGGGGAGCGGGGUCGGGGAAUGUGGAAGUGGGCCUCAUGCAGGACUUACCAGCUGAUGUCAUCCUGGGUAACGACUUGGGGG